rnacentral:misc_RNA from 1 species
GGGACAGUGAGCCAACCGAAAACCUAUCCACUCUAGCUUUCUGAGCAAAAUACACAGCAAAACUCAUUUUUUUAAACUCAUUCCUUGCCUUUUCCGGUCACCAUAAAAACCUUUUCAAAGCCCCCCCUCUCCCUUUCUCCCAAGUGGUCUUGAGGUUCAAUUAUGUUGAGUAAGUCAAUUUUGGACUCUGUUUGUGCUUGAGCUUUUUCACUAGUCAUGGUAGAGACCUUAAAAUGGAAGAACAAUUUUUAUCCUUCUUAUUUUCUUUUUUCAUCUAUUUGAGACCUUUGCGUUAAUUUGAUGAGUUGUUAGAAUUAUAUUUAAGAUUGUGGAUUUCAUGGAAAAUGGUUGGGAAGCAUUGAUUAGAGGAAGAGAGAGAUGCAGGGUGGGUGAUAUACAUGUGUAGGUGAAAUUAUUUUGGUCUUUCUCUUUUUCUAUUUUUAAAAUGAUGCCAAGUUAGCACAAAAUUAAGCCAUGAAAUAAGGUUCAGUUAUGGGCAAACAGAAAGAUAAACAUUUGGACAUAAUGAAUAAUAUUUUCCACAAAUAUGUGCAAAGCAUGUAUUAAAUAUUUUCCCAAUUUAGAUAGGUUUAUACAUCAAAAAGGGAAUGGAGGGUUUUCUCUCUAGAGGGGCGGAUGGAACAUUUCUUGGACAAGCGGAUAGGGCCACAAAGAAGGUGAAGCACCGAGAGGAACACCAUAAUUUUGUUCCUGGCCAUGUGUUUUUUCGAGAUAAGGUAGUGUAUGGAGCGGAGAUAAAGGUAGAAGGGGACGAGAAUGGGGUCUUUGAGAAUGUAGUCAUCGGGGAGAAGGAUAUUACUAUCAUGAAGUUAAGGCAAAUACUAGAGAUGGCAAUAUUUGAUAAUCUACAGGAUGAACUGGCUAAGCAAUGGAAGAGAGCAAUGGUUGUGAGGCUCUUGGGUUGUCGUAUUGGCUAUAAGGCUUUAUGCAAUCGAUUGAACGCGCUUUGGAAUCCUACAGGGGCAAAGAUUUGGGAGCUAGGUAAUGAUUAUUUCCUCAUUAAGUUUACUAAUGAAACGGAUUUUCAUCGGGCUUUGUUGGAUGGACCUUGGUUGAUGCAAGGAAGUUAUCUGCUUGUGCAACCUUGGCAUCUAGGAUUUGAUAUUCAGGAUAUUAGCUUUUAUAUAGCUGUGAUUUGGGUGAGAUUUCCAGGUCUCCCUAUUCAUCCUUAUCAAAAGCAAGUCCUCAGUGUGAUUGGUUCUGUUAGUGGUCAUGUAGUCAAGAUCGAUUACAAUACUAGCGAUUUGAUGAGGGGGAAUUUUGCUCGGUUAGCGGUCUUUAUGGAUCUCAGUGAGCCUUUCGCAUCUCAGUUGCUUAUUAAUGGGAGAGUCCAAAAGGUGGAGUAUGAGAAUAUCCUAAAAUUAUGUUUUGAGUGUGGUAGAAUUGGGCACAGGAAGGUGUUUUGCUCUUUUAAACAAGCUCCAAAGGAAGGGUAUGGAGGGAAGGUUUCAGAGAAUGCUCAAAUGGAGACGAAAGGACAAGAGGGUGGUUUUGGGCCGUGGAUAGUGGUCACUUAUCGGGCAAAGAGGAAUCAGGUCAGGCAUGAUAGUUCUCAAAAUUUUCGAGGAUCUCGUUUUAACCACUUAGCAGAUGAUUUAAAGGUCGUUGCAAAUUUGGAAGGUGGUGAUAGAGUGGUGGUUCCUUAAACGAUCGAUACUGUGAGAUUUUCUUUGCCAAAGGAUAAGGGUGCCGUAGUGGUACAAUUAGGGCUGCUGGGUCUAAAAGGGAUCUUUUUGAGUUCCAAGCCAAGAGACAGGAGGUUGGGACUCACAUGAGACAAUCUUUUGGGCCUCAAAAGGUUUCCUGGCCUUCAUUAGAUCCAGAAUGUCAUACGGUGGUUAGGAUUGAGGAGAAUUAUUCCAAUUCACCUAAUGAGGGCGAUCCUUGUAAAAGGAUAUAUCUGAAUUCGAGGCUAUCGAAUUUAACUCCAAACGAGUUUGGUGGGCAACCUCCAGAUAAAGGAAAUGUUGAUGAGGCGGGUGAUGUUUUUUCUCCUUCAAAGAAUAAAUUAAAGGAUAUGGAGGUGAAUGGUGAAAAUAGCGAAGAUGAGGAUGAUGAAUCAGGGGAUGUAAGAAAGUACUCUGAUUUUGGGGAGAAGGAGCCGUUUGAUCCUUAUCUCAGGGAUUAAACUUAGGUUUUCUUUCUUCUAUCUUUGUUUAUAUCGAUGAUUAUUUGGAGUUGCCAAGGGGCUUCUAAUUGUGAUCUUUUUAGAAUUCUUUGUAUGUUUUUGGAUAAUUAUAAGCCUAUCAUGUUAGUGCUUGUUGAACCUAAGCUUAGUAGUGUUAAAGCAGAUAAAGUGAUUCAUAAAAUUGGUUUUUCGUUCUCUCAUCGAGUUAAGGCUCGAGGCUUUUUGGGAGGCAUCUGGGUUUUAUGGAAUAGGCCAUGGAGUGUGAAGGUGAUUGAGAAUAAUCAUAAAUUCAUCCAUAUGUAGAUCAUGGAUUCAGGAUUGCCAGUUAUUUUCUUUACUGCUAUUUGUGGCAGUCUGGUGGCUUCGAUUAGAAAUUCUCUUUGGCAUAAGCUUUCGAUUUUUAAUGAUAGUAUUUCUGAUCUUUGGCUUCUUGUUGGGGACUUUAAUGCUUUGCUCUCUUAUGAGGACAGACAAGGUGGGUUGAAUAGAAGGUCAGGGAUUAGUAAUCAAUUUGUAUCUUGUUUUGCUUCAGCUGCUUUGUCUGAGCUGGUGUUUAGGGGUCCUAAAUUUACUUGGAAGCGUGGAAGCUUAUAUCAAAGAUUGGAUAGAGCUUUUUAUUAUGGACCAUGGAGUUUGAAAUUCCCUGAAGCGGAUGUUUUACGUCUUCCAUGGAUUCAUUCUAAUCAUAGGCCUCAAUUAGUUAGGCUCCAGAGUUGGUCUCCCCCGGUUAAUAGAAAUAGGCUUUCAAAUUUCAAAUGGCGUGGCUUAAUCAUAGUUAGUAUCCUGAUUUUGUUAAGCAAGCUUGUGUUAGGAGAGGAUCUUUGAUGCAGACAAUUGUUGGUUUUGCUAAUGAUUUGAAGGAAUGGAAUGGUAAAGUGUUUGGGAAUGUUUUUCAUUUUAAAAAGCAGUUGCUUGCUAGGAUAGAGGGGAUUCAAAGAGUACUUGAGAAAAGGACUUCCUCUCAUUUGAUGGAAUUGGAAUGUCAACUCCGUAGAGAGCUUGAUGUUAUUCUAUAUCGUGAGGAGCUUAUCUGGUUUCAAAAGUCGAGGUUAGAAUGGAUUCAAUGGGAUGAUAAGAAUACCUCAUAUUUUCAUCAACGAACCGUUAAAAGAAGAAAAUGUAAUAGAAUUAUUGUGUUGAAAGAUGAAGAAGGGAAUCGGUUAGAGGAGCAAGGUACUUUAAAGAAGCUUGCUAUAGAUUUCUUUUCCAAGCUUUAUUUGGAUGAUGAUAUAAAGAAUAGUCGUUACAAACUGAGGGGUCUUUUUCCUACCCUUAGUGAUGAUUGCCUUAAGGGUUUGGAUUCUUUGUUUUUGGAUAAGGAGAUCAAAGUAGCUCUCUUUGAAAUGAAACCUUGGAAGGCUUUGGGGCCUAAUGGCCUACAUGCUAUUUUUUUCAAAAAUCCUAGUCCAUGGUUAGGAAGGAUAUGUGUGAAGAAGUUCAGAGAAUCUUAGGGAGAGGUGUGGUGGAGAGGGCUAUGAAUAAUACUUUUAUUGCUCUGGUUCCCAAAAUACAAAGUCCAGUCUCUAUUUCUCAAUUCAGACCUAUUAGCUUGUGCUUUGUCUUGUACAAGAUUGUGACUAAAGUGAUUGCUAAUAGGUUGAAAAAGGUGAUUUCUUUUGUAAUUGGUCCUACUUAAACCAGCUUUGUGAAGGGUAGGAAGAUAACGGAUAAUAUAGUUAUAACGCAAGAAGUGAGGCACUCUAUGAGAAGGAAAGUAGGUAGAAAGGGAUGGAUGGCUAUAAAAGUUGAUGUUGAGAAGGCUUACGAUCAUUUGUGUUGGAGUUUUUUGAAUGAUACAUUAUGUGAUAUGGGUCUAUCUCUGAAUUUAGUUUGUGUUAUUAUGAAUUGUGUUUUGUCUUCAACGAUGCAAAUUUUAUGGAAUGGUGAGGUGAUUGAGCAGUUCUUUCUAAGGCGUGGGUUAAGACAAGGUGAUCCAUUGUCGCUGUAUUUAUUUGUUUUGUGCAUGGAAAGGCUAGCUCAUGGAAUUUCUGUUGCUAUUGAGCAGGGUAAUGGAAGCCUAUUAGAUUUUCGAAGAAAGGACCUCACCUUACUCAUUUAUUCUUUGCUGAUGAUUUGUUUUUGUUUGUUGAGGCUUCUUUGGAUCAAGUUGAGGUGGUUCAUAGAGGUGUUGGAGGAUUUUCACAGUAUUCCGAGGCAGAAGGUUAAUGUUGCUAGGACUCAAGUUUAUUUCUCUAAAAAUGUUGAUGGGAGAAGUCGAAGGUGUUAAGUGAGCAUUUGGGUUUUAAGGAGACAAAGGAUUUUGGGAAAUAUUUAGGAGUUCCUCUUUUUGAUUCAAGGAUUAAGAAAGUCAUGUGUCGCUAUAUUUUAGAUAAAGUCCAAUUGAGGCUUUUGGGGUGGAAUGCUUAUCAUUUAUCUUUAGAUGGCAGAAAUACCUUAGCUCAGUCGGUGAUCUCUGCUAUGCCAAUCUACUCCAUGUAAUCUAUUAAGCUGCCAGUGGCUAUUUGUGCUAAGGUUAAGAAAGCUUGUAGGCAUUUUAUUUGGGAAUCAAAUGAUCAAGUUAAUAAAAUGGCUCUCGUUGCUUGGAAUAAAAUUCAAUAACCUAAAUCUAGUGGUGGAUUGGGUUUUCGGAAGAUGGGUGUGUUGAAUCAAGCUUUUAUCAUGAAGCUUGGUUGGAGAAUUGUUUAGGAGUCAUCAGCGCUUUGGGUUCAAGUUCUUAAGAAUAAAUAUAAAGUGGCAGAUGAACCUAUCCCGAAGUUGCCUUAUGUUAAAAAUUGCUCGCCUGUUUGCAGCAACAUUCAAGGUGCGUUUGACAAUUUUUAGAGUUCUCUUUGUUGGUCUUUUGGUAAUGGAAGUAAUAUAAGCUUUUGGCUUAAUGCUUGGAUACCUAAGAUUGGAAUUUUGAAUGAUAGGACUGUGAGAAGUGUUCUGUUGAAUUUAUUAGAGAAAAAGUUGAGCAUUUUGUGGUUAGGGGAGCUGACUAGGAUUGAGAUGUUUUGAAACUAUAUUCGAAUUUGAAUAUGUUGCACUUAAUAGCAGUGGUUCCGCCCGCUAGAAGUGAUCUUGGACCUGACGAGGUUUAUUGGGUAGGUUCAAGCUGUGGUAGGUUUUCUAUUAAAACAACAUACUUUGCUUUUUGUAGUAGUAAUUAGAAUAUCAAGGAGGCAAAUUGGGAGAUGAUCUGGAAGUGGAAGGGACCUCAAUGUGUUAGGUCAUUGUUAUGGUUGGUUAUGCAUAAUGCCAUUCUUACUAAUGUGGAAAGAAGGAGAAGACACAUUGGUGUGGACGAGACUUGUCCUAGUUGCUUAAUUGCUGCUGAAUCUAUUUUUCAUGUUUUACGUGAGUGUGUUGUUGCUAGAGAGCUUUGGAAGAGUUUGAAUCGUCCUUUUGCUUGGUCUUUGAAUCGUCCUUUGAAUUUAAAGAAUAAUGAGAAGAGUAAGAAUUUUAUUCCUUGGUCUUUACUUUUU